GGUAUCAUUCGUUGUGUUCGUACGCCUCGGCGGCGGUGGCUAUGAAUGUAGUGCCCUGGUCAGCGCAUGAAGACAUCGAUUGUUCUCAGUCGUCGGUUUCGCGCUGUCGUGGGUUGACGUGUGUGUGUGUUGUGCUUCUUGUUUCAUGCUAAUUACCACAUGGAGGUGGAACCCCUGUAGCUGACCAAAAAGGCCAGGACUGUCAGAUGCGAUAUAUGAAUUGGUUCAAGUUCUUCAAACAGAGCUGACCCAACAGAAGGCCUCUGGUGGCACACUGUAAUCAAGUGCGCCACUCCCACAGGAUUGGCCUUUUGCAUUCAUGUCUGAAUGCUGUCCAGGGCAUCCCACAGGCACCAGCUGCAUGACGAUGCCCCACCCCACGGAUUGUCUUAUGCCAACAGUGUGCUCCCGUAGGGAACUAUAGACACUAGAAGAUGGACUGUGGUCAUGCUAAGGAAUUCUUCAGUAGCUUCAUGGUGCACUAGAGAAGAAGCAGCAGACCUGGACGAAGUAAACAAACGGCCCUUGUCAGGGCCACCAUAUGUCUGCCAGAAUGGCUAGCGUUCUGCUGGUAGAAGAAACCCUGACGGUGAUAGAAGAUCACUGAACUAACCAUAACUCAAGCAUGAUGGCUACAACAGUGCUGAUAGAAAACAAUCAUUGCAGUUGCAAAUGCCAUACAUUUCACUAAGCACUGUAUUUUUGAUGACAGUAAUAUUUAGAGUUGAAGGAGUCAUGUUCUGCCACUUUUUGGAUGGUCAAAGUAUGCAUCACAGAACACAUUGCUAAGGUGAACAGUAUGUGGAACCGACUAUAACUCCUGUUAUUCAUUCGCACAGAAAAUAUGAAGCAGAAAAUGUCGAGGUUGUUGCGAGAGACCUGUACUAUGUCUGUUCUAUGUCUUUUGCAAAAGCUAUCACCGUUUCUCAACAAAAGUGAGGUGGAGAAUGUACUGGACGCCUCCAUUUUUCCCCUUUCUCUCCGUACUGUAAAGGUAGUUCUUUUUGUGUAGUCCAAUAAUACGAGAAUUUGAAAAAAGGUCUUUGGGUGUACUUGACAUAAUUGUGUGCCAGUCUAUAUCAUUGAACCCCCGUGGCACUGAGGACAAAACUUUACCUAGACAGUAUAUUUGGGUCCUAAGAACGCCAUUGGAGCCACAGGGCAUAUUGACUUUCGACCACAUCAUGCAGGGCCACAAGGAAAAGAAACGAUUGUAGUUACCAUAAAACUUUGGUAUAUCAUACAUAACAUUGUACACAAAAACAGGACCGACAUAGUUAUUGUGGAGCCGGAUAGUGGAUAACACCAAAAAUUAAUGGGCUUACUAGGCUAACGCCAAUAAAUGGGCGGCCUUCCAAAUAGAGUGCUGAUAGUAUGAAAAACUAUUCGACCUUCACAAAGGCUUAGGAGAAUGUUCAGUAGCACUCCGAAUUAUCCAUUUACUUACUGUAUUGCUGCCUUAGUUCACAGUUGGAAAAUAAGUAUAGAAAAUCAAAGAGAAAGAGCUAGCUGGCAUAUUCACAGUGGGUUAUGGCUUCGGGUUUGCUAUGUUGUGUUUAAUGAGAAGUGCAGAAAUUUGGGCCAGUUGGUACAUAACUGCAAAAGGGAACAAGAGCAUACAGAUGGGACAAUGGAGGGACAGAGCUGCUUACAACUAAACUAUAAUGGUAAGAAACCCGACGCAGUCAUGUGCGCAGGUGCACUGCUAUCCCACCAUGUCAAAACAACGAGUACAGUACUAGACAAAUGUUAGAGAACACGCUCCGGCGCAUUCCUUCCUCAGAGUGACAGCAAAUGGGACCGUACAGACUUAGACAUGCGCGUAUAGGUAGCCCAGUCACCUGUAUGCAAGUCCGUACGAUACCAUUCGCUGCCAGCUUGUCACUCGGAGGGAGGAGUGUGCCAGAGCAUGUUAAGCUUUUGUCCAGCACUUUACAAGUAUAAAACUGAUUAACAAUGUAGAGUGGGCUAGUUGGUAUGACAUCUUAGACUAUGGAGCUACGGCAGACAAGGACAAUACACCACUCCAUAAUCAACUGGUUUAUUUCUGGAAAAAGAGAAAAGGAAGGUUGAACGUUGGGAUUGGGGGUUUUGAGACAAACUGAUUAAAAAGGAACUUUACACCUAGUGGUGAUCUUUUCCUGCUGUCCUUGUCUGCCGUAGCUCCGUAGUCGAAGUCUGUACAAGUAUGUCAGAAAAGACCCUCAAAAUGACAUUUUUAGGCAUGUGCAAACAAAACCAUCGUAGUGAUAAGGGGUGACACAAGUGAAAAAAAUGCCUAUGAUUUGAAUAAAAAUUCAAGUUUCUUAUCCAUCAAACAAAUAGAAGCUUCAGUAGUACAACUGGAAGAGCCACUUCUUAUUUCAGCCACUUCGACUACCUCUCUUUCGAACUGACAGUUUGCUUUUCUUUUUGGCUGAGUUCUUUCAAAAGCCGGGUUUUAAUGUCACUAUUUGAUAUAGUAUAAGAAUUAGGAUGGACAGAAGAUCGACUCAAUCCUCGCAUUAGCUACGGUGUGCUAGUAUACCAUACCGCACGCGAAUACCAGGUUGCCGUGUCCGUAAUUUUGUGAGGUUCGAGAGCCACAAGAACUGCUCGCAUGCAGUGUAUUCUACCUAACUUGGACUGCGCAGCAGCAGUACUGGGGCCAGGCUGAAAACAAUGCCUGAAAAUCUGUUCUCCUAAUUCGUCUUUAAAUUUCGAGAGGGUAGCUUCGUUCUCUUUGAUGGCCAAGAGGCCGCGUGUUUGAGAUCCCUGUAGAUAGGGCAAUCGCUUUCGAAACUAAACAACAAGGAUCAGAAACAUAACGCUGUCCUAUU